rnacentral:rRNA from 1 species
CACGGCCGGUACAGUGAAACUGCGAAAUUGUCUCAAAGAUUAAGCCAUGCAUGUCUAAGUAUACGCAAAUUAACAGUGAAACUGCGAAUGGCUCAUUAAACAGUUAUGGUUCCUUUGAUCGCUCAAAGUUACUUGGAUAACUGUGGCAAUUCUAGAGCUAAUACAUGCAAACGAGCGCUGACCCUUGCGGGGUGCGUGCAUUUAUCAGACCCAAAACCCAUGCGGGCUCCCCUCCGGGGGCGCCCCGGCCGCUUUGGUGACUCUAGAUAAACCUGGAGCCGAUCGCUGGCCCCCGUGGCGGCGACGUCUCUUUCGAAUGUCUGCCCUAUCAACUUUCGAUGGUACUUUCUGUGCCUACCAUGGUUGACAAAGGGUAACGGGGAAUCAGGGUUCGAUCCGGAGAGGGAGCCUGAGAAACGGCUUCCACAUCCAAGGAAGGCAGCAGGCGCCAAAUUACCCACUCCCGACUCGGGGAGGUAGUGACGAAAAAUAACAAUACAGGACUCUUUCGAGGCCCUGUAAUUGGAAUGAGUACACUUUAAAUCCUUUAACGAGGUCCAUUGGAGGGCCAAGUGGGGCCAGCAGCCGCGGUAAUUCCAGCUCCAAUAGCGUAUCUUAAAGUUGCUGCAGUUAAAAAGCUCUAAGUUGGAUCUCGGGAUCGAGCUGGCGGUCCGCCGAAAGGCGAGCUACCGCCUGUCCCAGCCCCUGCCUCUCGGCGCCCCCCGAUGCUCUUAGCUGAGUGUCCCGCGGGGUCGAAGCGUUUACUUUGAAAAAAUUAGAGUGUUCAAAGCAGGCCCGGCGCCUGAAUACCGCAGCUAGGAAUAAUGGAAUAGGACUCGGGUUUAUUUUGUGGGUUUUUUCUGAACUGGGGCCAUGAUUAAGAGGGACGGCCGGGGGCGUCCGUAUUGUGCCGCUAGAGGUGAAAACUCUUGGACCGGCGCAAGACGGACGAGAGCGAAAGCAUUUGCCAAGAAUGGUUUCCAUUAAUAAGAACGAAAGUCGGAGGGUCCGAAGACGAUCAGAUACCGCGUAGUUCCGACCAUAAACGAUGCCAACCGAUCCGGCGGCGUAUUCCCAUGCCCCGGGCAGCGUCGUCCGGAAACCAAAGUCUUUUGGUUUCCGGGGGGAGUAUGGUUCAAAGCUGAAACUUAAAGGAAUUGACGGAAGGGCACCACCAGGAGGGAGCCUGCGGCUUAAUUUGACCCAAACACGGGAAACCUCACCCGGCCCGGACACGGAAAGGAUUGACAGAUUGAUAGCUCUUUCUCGAAUUCUGUGGUGGUGGUGCAUGGCCGUUCUUAAGUUGGUGGAGCGAUUUGUCUGGUUAAUUCCGAUAACGAACGGAGACACUCCGGCAUGCUAACUAGUUACGCGGCCCCCGUGCGGUCGGCGUCCAACUUCUUAAGGGACAAGUGGCGUUCAGCCACACGAGAUUGAGCAAUAACAGGUCUGUGAUGCCCUUAGAUGUCCGGGGCUGCACGCGGCCACACGAGUGGAUCAGCGUGUGUCUACCCUGCGCCGAGAGGCGUGGGUAACCCGCUGAACCCCACUCGUGAUAGGGAUUGGGGACUGCAAUUAUUUCCCAUCACGAGNNNNNNNNCCGGCAGACGUC